rnacentral:miRNA from 1 species
UACUACAGAUCGUGAUGUCAACUU